rnacentral:lncRNA from 1 species
GAUCACCCCGACGCGGGUGGCGAGGGUCCCGCCGAGCGCCAGGUCUAAGAGACACUUUUUCCCGAGUCCACUGACGGCUUCUGAACCCCUGCUCCGGCCGGUCCGCACCGUUCCGGCAUUCUCUUGCUCAGUAACAAUUUCGCAGAAUCCCAUCACGUCACAAACCAAACCCCCUCCAAUUGGCCAGUGGGGAGGGUGAUUCAACUCUGUUUACUUUCUCCCCCUGCCAGUCAGAACGGCCUUCGGUGGAGAGGUGCGUCUAGAACUGAGGCGUGCGGCCAAUCCGACUGUUCCGUUUCGCUGCCUCGUGCUACCCCUACAGCCUCGAACACUGACAUUUAAAAGGGUAACAGCUGGGAGGCAGGGAAGGGGCAGCCGCACACUUUCGGAGUGCCUCGCGGUCCCGUGGCCGGUCCGGGCCUCCUGGCUCACGUUCCAGCUUGCGGAGCUUUGGGACACAUCUUUCCUAGUCAGUUGCGCUCGUUCCUAUGGCAAAAGAGAACUUCAGCUUCGGUUUUCCAGCUCCCAAACAGUUAAGUGACUUCCUGCAAACGCUACAGUCCCAGCAACCAGCCUUCCAAUCAAAAUGAAUAAACCAGCAGACCAAUUCAGAGCCCAUUUCAGUGGUGCAGGUGAGAGGUGUUAGAGACCUGGACAAGGUGGUGGCAGAUGAAGAUGGAGAGAAGAGAGAUAGGAUCUCGCUAUGUUGCCCAGGCUGACCUCCUGCCUCAUGCAUCCCUCACCAAGCUUAACAGGCAAUCAUUCACCCGCUGGGACACAGGACCUCAAGGAUCUUGGCUUUUUGUCAUCACUGCACAUGGAGACAUGGUGCUUAGCAGCAAGGUAAAUAUUGUCAUACUGCGUAUGUGAGAGGCAAGAAUAAGUAAGUCAGGACAUCCUUAGAAAAGUUUAUCUCUGGAUCCCCACUUUCCUUACCAAUAGACUAAUAGGAAGUCAUGAAUUUCCCAGGUUUUUACCAAAUCAAAAGAUUUUCAUGACACUGUAUAAGCUGGAAAGUAGUUGAGGGUCAGUAAAUAUCGAAUGAAUAGUUUCGAAGGUGAACAUGCACUCCUGAUUUUUGGGUUAGAUUCUUGAACUUGCCCCUCCUGACUUUAUUAUCCUGUCCAUCAAGGUUUGCUUGGAGUUACUUGAACAAGCCAGGCUGUUCCACACCCCAGUACCUUUGCAUAUGCUGCUCUUGGUGCCUGGAUUGGAAUGCUUUCCAUUAAUCCAAGUGGGCUGAGGACAUCUGAUCUUUCGACACCUGGCACCAGGAUUGUCUUUCAUCUCCUUUAUGAAGUUUUUAUUGACUGACUCUCCCACACCCAGAAUGAGCCACUCUAUCCUGUCCAAAUUUGAUUGCACAUAUCUAUUUAAUAAGAUGUGACUGGGACCUUUGGGAAGUCCCUGCUCACACCCUGUACCCACGUGGAAGCCAUAAUCAAUGCUUCACUGCAGCCCACUUGCCCCCUUGCUACCUCUCAAGCCACCCCGAAAGCAUUUCAGCUAUGUGGAUUUGACUGAAAUGCUCACAAGGGAGAAAAGUGGAGGGCUUACACUGAACACCAUAUGGCCAAACUUUAUACAAAUCCCCGUUAAAAAUCUUCCUUCAUUCCCAAAGCCUUUUCUCCCACUGCCAGCUGCCUUAUCUCCCCUAUCCUUUCCAAUCCUCCUCUCUCCACUCUCCUCCGGCUGCACUGGCUCCAGCCUCCUUCCACCCCUGGAUUCUUCACCACUACCUCAAUCCCAUUUAGCAAUUUAGUGCACUCACCCUUUCUCCUUCAUUAUCUGGCAUGCUUGAAGCUUUAGGUUAUGUUCAUCAGAUCUCUUUGAGAUCAAUCCCUCUUAAAAGACAAGGGUAUUGUAAAUAGGCAACACAUAUAUUCUCCUCCUGCUAGAGACUGGAGCAACUUGAGGGCAAGAAUCAAGCCUCAUAUACCUUUGCAUCUCUAAUGCAAAAUAUUUAAAAUGUUUGUGAAAUGAAGAAAGAAAUAAAAGAAUGUAGCCACCUAUUAGAAUCCAUAAAGUUCUACUCUAAUCAUGGUUUUCUCCCGUUUGAACAUUUUCUACGUCUUCUCAAUUAAUGCCUUGGCCUCAACUGCCAUUUCUCCUUGACUCCAGCACUCUGCUCAGCAAUGAUGGACCUUCUUUCCCUUAAGCCCACACUGCAUAUUCUUUCCUUCAGGUGUUCCUUUGGGUUGUCCCUUCAUGCCUGGAGUAAUCUAUGUCAUUUAUGAGGGUGAUUGGUGGUGGGUUACCAUCACCCUAUUGAAAUUGAAGGUGGAUGUAACUCGUCUGGUCUUGCAGGUCCAGCCAAAUCCUUCCCACUCUUCAAGACUCAACAUAGGCCUUACCCCUCAGGAUACUUCAUUGAGGUCUCUAGCCCAGGCAUGAAUCUCUGUUGAGUCCUUGGGAUAUAUAUAAGCCUUGAAAGCACCCACUCUAAGGGCACUUAGUUAUUUGGCUUGCUCUGUUGUGGAAUGUGGGGGAUGAGGCUUUGAAGCCAUUCCUCUUCUCAGACUAUGGUCAUUAUUAGGGCUAUUCACCAAAUUUUUCAAGGUUUCCUCCACUUCCAGACUUGUGGUAGGUUUGUAUAUAACUUGGCAUUGUGUGUGGCCGAUUUGCUUUGGCCAAUGAAAUAUGAGCAGAAUUGGCAUGAGUCCCUUUGGAAAAGAAGCUUACAGGGGAAGAAGUGUUAAGAGCUGGUGAGCGAUCGACCACACUUUCCUUCCCCUGGCAUGGUGAUUAGCAAUGUUUGAGAUAUGUGGCAGAUUGCCCAUUAGACUGGGUCCUCGGGUGAGGACCCAGCUGAUUCACAAUGGGCAUCUGGUGAAGGCAGUAAACAUACCUUUUUUUCGUUAGGCCAUUCAGAUACAGAGGUUAUUUGUUACUGCAGCACAACCUAUCCUAUUCAGACAGACUAUAAUUUCCUUGAGGGCAGGAGACAUGCUUAACUCACCUUUCUAUCCCCUAUAGAACAUAGUAGAAGAUCUUGUGGAUGUUCAAUAACUAUUGCUGAUUAUGUAUACUGAGAUAGGGUAAACUACAUGAGACUGGAGAGUGGGACUUGGUCUCAGAACUUCAACUUGAGAUCUCAGUCUCUAAAAAAUCAAGAUAAAUAUACAAGAUGAUUCUACCUGUAUUCUAAUAAGAGUCUCUGGAGCACAAUUCUGAAAAACAUUUUCUUUUGAAAAAACUUUUUUAAAAAUGAAAGAAGAUUCUUGCAUACAGGGAGGCAGAAUAGUGUAAUCAAAGGAAUCUGGGCUUUCAACCUUGGAUAGACUUGGGUUUAAGUGCCAGCUCUGCCAUGUCCAUGGCUGCAUGAUCUCGGACAAGUUAUUUAAGCUCUUUGAGUCUUGGUUUCUUAUCUAUAACAGGGAUGAUAUCAACACCUACUCUACAGGAUUACUGUGGGGUUGAAAUGAGAGAAUGUAUGUAAAGUACUUGAUACAUUAUGUGUGAUCAACAAAUGUCAUUCUGUUAGGUCUUUGCUCCCACCAGGUGUGUGUGGGUUGGUGCAAACUCUUGCUUAAUUCUCUGAGAACUCCCCUUCAUUUACUCCUUCUGAGAUCUUGGUUACAUGCCCAGUCCCUGGAUUUAUUUAGCUUGGUCCAGGUCAGAUCCUUAAGGUUUUGCAUUUACUGCCCCAGGCACACUCUGGCCUGAGAAAUUCCAUCUACGACUGGCUGGAGUUGGCACUAGCCCUUGGCAAAUAACUUCAAUUGGGAGAGAAGUGUUUUUGAGACAGGCUCUUUGCUGCCAAAAUUUUAAAUAGGGCCUUCUGUGAGGGAGGUCUGGUCAGGGAAGUGAAGGGAGGUGAUCUCCCCAGGGAAGAAAAAACUUAAGGCCAGGCAUGGUGGCUCAGGCCUGUAAUCCCAGCACUUUGGGAGGCCAAGGUAGAAAGAGCCCAGGAACUCCUCAAGACCAGGAGUUUGCUUGAGCUCAGGAGUUCGAGGCUAGCCUGGGUAACGUGGCAAAACC